CAGCUGGAGUCCUUCCAGGAAGUCCAGGUCCCAGAGCUGCCAUCGAGAACAUAAGCUUCUGAUUUCCACUCUAGAUCCCCCUGACAGAAAAUACCCUGAAUGACUGCUUUUCCUGCUCUGACUGAGCCACUUGGACCCCCCACAGGAGACACAGGCCCCCUUGGACACCCCACAGGAGACACAGCCUCUCUUGGAGUCCCCACAAGAGCCACAGCCCCCUUUGCCACAGCUAGAGCAGGAACAGGCUGGCACACAGCAGCACACGGGCUUGCAGCAGCAGACGGGCACACAGCAGCUGGAGCCACAGCCCCCACAGCCGGAGCCACAGCCCCCACAGCCCCCACAGCCGGAGCCACAGCCCCCACAGCCUCCACAGCCGGAGCCACAGCCCCCACAGCCCCCACAGCCUCCACAGCCGGAGCCACAGCCCCCACAGCCCCCACAGCCGGAGCCACGGCCUCCACAGCCAGAGCCACAGCCUCCGGAGCAGCCACAGCAGCCCAUGGUUCUGGUGGAUUGAGGGUGGAGCAGGUAGAGGAGCAGGUGAGAGGGAGGUGCAGGUGUGGAGCCCCCUGAGCCCAGGCUCUUUAUAUCCCUGUCCAGGGUCAGGUGAGAGGCUGGGCACACUGUCACUUCCUGGUUCCUGCUUGUGCCACUGGUCCCAGUAUUCUCUUCUGCUUUACAUUUUUAUAAAUAACUCCUGUUUUCCUCGCACUUUUCUCGAAUGUGCUGUCAGGUCUGUGAUGGAAGCGGCCCCUCAGUAAACACUGGCCCCGCGGUGAGUUUCCCUUUCCAAGAAGGAAGCGAUGGGCAGGCAGUGGCUCGCUCAGAGGCCUUGGUCUUGCCGAGGGUGAUUUUGAGCCCAGGACUCCUGGCUUGCUCCCGGGAAGAUUCCUCUGCGGGAGCAUCGUGUCUUGCUUGGGACGUGCCUAGGCCCUACACCUUCACGGUCCACAGCAGCUCCUGGCCCGCAGGCUGUUUCCAAGGGUCCCAGGACCUGGGGCUUCAGCCCUCAGCUCAGCAGGGUCCUUUUCGGUGUAAGACUUUGUUGGAAGGUUUGCAGUGUUGACUGAGACGUGGAUUUUAAGCGCU
rnacentral:lncRNA from 1 species